AUCAUGAGUCUUGAAGAUUAAAGUGUCUAGAACUCAAGCGAGUGUGUGAAUGUUGUAAGGUUCAUGGUAGAUAGUAUUGGGCAUUUUCACAGCAAGCGAAGAUGAGCAUGUGGGAAAUUGUGAAGUUCAGUGUGAAAUGUGGAGGGUAUUGGGUGAAGAAUCAUAGAGGCGAUGUUGGUUAUAUUGGUGGUGAGGUGAGGACCAUCAACUGUAAACCGGAGGAGUUAUUUAACGCAUUGGCAGAAGAGUUUGGAGAAGGAUUAAAUGUACAGCGUGUGUGGUAUAAGCUCCCUAAUGAAGAGCAUAAGGAUAGGAAGAUAAUGAGCGAUGGUGAUCUGAUGUUUCUGAACAUGUGUGAAGCGGGUAAAUGGAGAGGAAUGAUUAAUAUAUUUCUUGUGAACACAACAUAGCAUUGUGAAGUUGAGGAGUAAGUGAUGCCAAGUGAAGAAGAUAUUAGAAUUGAAAAUAAUGUGGCUAGUUUUGUUGAUGAAGAUGAGGAUUUUGAUCAUCAUAAUACUCCUCCUAAUUCUGAUGAUGACGACAACGAGUCCUUUGUGAGAUUCAGACCAGGAAGCGGUGAGCUGGAGCUAAGACAAGUGUUCGACACCAUGGAAGAGUUCAAAGAGGCAGUAUUGGAGUAUGCACUAAAAGGUGGAUGGAAUAUCAAGCUAAAGAAAUGGGGGGGGGGGGAUAUAUCAAAUCAUCAGCUGUUUGUGGGACUAAAGAAGACUGCCCAACAUUGGUGUGCCGAUCAAACAUAAGUAUGGAAGGAAGAAAGCUUCGACGGGAAGAGUAGAGGAACAUGACCCUAUUAGUGAAGACUUCGGAGAGGGCCCAAGUCAACAGACCCAAGACUAAUAUCAGGUUCUAAUAGAAGCUUAGGUUGGUUUUUGGUGGAGCUUCUUUCGGUUUUUAGUUGAGCUUUGAUGGCGCUUCUCAGUCGGUUUUUGGCAGAGCUUUGUUGGUGUUUCUUUCAGCUUUUGGUGGUACUUUUCAGUCAGUUUUUUGUCUUUGUUUUUUUCUUAAUGAAUGUCGGUUUGAGUCAGUUGUGGUGUUUGUACACUAUUUUCCAAAUAUUAUUUACUUAUGUUUCCAAAAGAAUGUUGAACAAAUGCAUGUUGAAUUUCAAGUUAUGUUCUUUGUAGGAUCAUUUUUGCAGACAUGAACUUACAAGACCUCACAUUACCAUAAAAACAAGAACAUACAUCAGUCUUAACUUCAACUACAAGAACAUACAUAAGUCUACUACAACUAAUAGAACAUAGAUUAGCUACAACAACAUACAUUAGCUUAAAUUAAAUACCAUUGCGACAACAAGCAUAACUAAACUCAAAAUAUAAACUUCAAGAAGACCACAAUGAACAUACCCCUUCUCUCCCAAAAGGACAAGCAUGAAACAAUCUCCCUGGGUUUUUAAUUGUUCUGGAUGUAUUCCUUACAACAGCCUCUCCACAUCUACACCUCUUCGGGAGGCCUCUUACUCGAUCACCCAUUGAAAAGCUUAAUCAAAUUUCAAAAAAGUUCCAAGAAAUUUAAUUUCUAUUGUUUCAUAAUGUCGAAAAUAGUCUGAAAAAAUAAGAUGAGAGUGAAGACAAACCUUGAGAAACACAGAUGCUUUUAUCGUUUUAAGAUUACAAGACUUAUGAUUUGGCAAGAGAAUGGAGAAACCAGAGUAAUAACGAUGGAGAAGAAGAAGUAAAACCUAAUUUUAACCUCAAAUACAAAACUACGUCGUUUUGUGUUGAGAGACAAAACUAUGUUGUUUUGGUUAUUAUGUAAGUUAUUACGGCUCACGUCUCGGCUUGAGAUAACAGUAGAAUAACAGGAUUUUCGCCAAGGGAGGAAACAAGGUCACAUAUGAAAGUUGGGGUAGGAAAUUUAAAUAAAUAUGCAGUUGGGGUUGUAUUCCGCCCUAUUCAAUUAUUACAGUUUUAAAAGAUGAUUAUCUUAUUUUAUAAUGAUAUAUUAUUUUUUAUACGAAGUUUAUAUAUUUUUUGUUUUCUAAAUUUAAUUUUGUGAAUCGAAAUAAAUAUCCGGUUAAAAGAUAUAUUUACUGGAUAUUUCGAACAUCGAAUAUCUAGAUAGUGUCAAAGCAAAUGGAAUUAAAAAACUGUGAUUUAAAAAAACGAGAUGAAUCACAACUACCCCAUAAAGCAUAUAUCUAGUUUUUUUUGGAGCAAAUAAGCAUAUAUCUAGUUUGUACCCACCUUAGGUUUCCAAAAAAGUAUGUGUUGAGUCUAUGUAAAAUGGUCAUUAAAUAUUUGAAUUAAUGCAUCUUUUUUGUAGAUAAAAGCCUUGAAUGUGGCAAUGCACAAUGAGUGGAAUGCAUGGCCGACCAUAAUUUGUGUUAACAUUCUAUAACUUUUUGUGUUUGUAUUUUUAUUUAAAAAUAAAUAAAUUAAAAAGAAUGAUUGAAGUGCUAAACAAAUUUUCUUUGAACUCCACCUAGAGUUGAAAAUGAAAUAAUAUGAUGUGGUUAAUCACAAUAUUGUAAUUUUUAAGUAUUAAUGUUCUUAAUGUUACUGUGGUAUACGUGUGGUACACAAAAAUGUAACGAUAUGUAACUAGUCGCUUCUAAAUUAAAGUGUGGUGUGUUUUGAGUUAAAAAUAAAACUGAAUUAAAUAGUAAUAUGUGCGGUCCAAAAAAUUGAAGAAAAAUAUAGUCUACUUACACAUUUGAAUAAACUCCAAAUUUUGUGUGGUUAGUGAAUUAUUUAUACUUUUAAGAACAUCUUGUUUGAUACUCCUUCCGUAUCAGUUUAACUGGUGUUUAAGGAUUUUGAUUUUGUUUCAAAAUAAGUAAUGUUCUCACAAUUAUAGGUAAAAUUUAAUGUCAUUUAAAAUUUUUGACCAAUUAUAAAAUACUACAUCUUUUUCUUAUUGGUUGAAUUAAUUUUAUUCUCUGUUAUUUUAUGUAACCAAAGUCAAUUACAUAAAAGUUUGUAUUUUCUUAAUAUUUGUGCAAAAACCUUAAACACCUCUUAAAAUGAUACACAUGGAGUAUAAAUUAUUUUUAUUAACUAUUUAUUUAGUUUAUUUUUUUUUUAUAAUUUCUGAAAUAUUAUAAUAUAAUUAGCAUUUAAUAAUUAUUUAUUUCACUGAUUUUGUCAAUUAUGAAAUAUAAAUAUAUUAUAUGUAUUCUAUAGUUAUACUAUUCAUUAUACAUGUCACCAUUCAUUCUUUUGAACCGUUUAUUUUAGAUGAUCCGCAGUUUCUCCGCAAUUUGCCUUUCUCUUGAAUAAACUGUAUUUAAACCGUACUGUAGUAUCCAGUUCGCAUGUUCCAUACUACUAAAUCCCAUGCUAUCAUUCAAGCCUAAAAUUUUAGAAAAGAAAACUUUCAUCCAAUAUUUUUUUUAUUAUAUAAUAUAGAUAAAUUAAAAUUUAAAUCUAUGUUAUUUAGUUAAUUAAAUUAAUUAUAAUGAAGUAUAUUUGAUUUAUCAAAUAAUUUAUAAAUUUAAUUUUAAAAUAUAUUAAAUAUUAUAAAUUAUUUUCUUUUGUUUAAAUGAUAAUAGCACGACUUGGACAAUUUUUACAUCAACAAAAACAUGAGAUAUUGAUUGUAAGAACAUGUAAAUAUGAAUUGUAAGAUUUUCGAGAUAUAUAAUUUUAAUAAUAGAUAAAAUACUUGUUUAAAUUUUGUUUGAAUAAUUUAUAUUUACUUUUAAAACAUAUAUAUAUAUAGUUUAUGUAUCAUGUAAUGGUUACUAUACAUAUUACCUUUCACAUAUUAUUUUCAACCGCUUGUUUUAGAUUGUGAUGAUCCUGCAGUACACGUUUUUCUCAUACUAACUAUACUUAAACCAUAUGAGUCAUGACGUAUAAUAAUAGGAGGUCUAGGUUUUAAGGUUUAAAUACUUCUACUUCCAGGUCUGGGGUUCAAAUCUCAAACUAUGCAAUUUUUUACAGAUUGCGCAUUAUAGGAAGUUCAGGUUUCAAUUCUCGAAAAAAGCGAUUUAUUAAACAAUUAUGCAGCUAUGGAAGAAAGGCUUACAAGAGAUCUUCAACAUGGUGCAAGUAAAUUUAGUCAGACUAAGUCUUGGUAGGACGGCUCAGAUGAUGCAGUUAGACGUAGAUCCUCAUAAGGCAUGUAGUAUUGUCGGUUGUUGAAUCGUCUAUGUAAUGUUUUUCGUAAUUGUAAUAUCAUGAUAAACCAGCCUUUAAAAAAAACUUAAUCAUUCCAAGCCGGAAACUAUAAUAUAAUACUAGUUUAUCUCUAUAAAAAGAUUACUCGUAAGUUUUCUAAAAACCCCUAAUUUUUCUUUUUUGGCUCCAAAUAAUGACAAGAAUCUCUGAUCUUUCCCAAGAUUUGAUAGAGGAGAUACUCUCUAGGGUUCAGUUAGCAUCUCAGCGAGCGGCUAGAUCCACUUGCAAACAAUGGAACGGUCUGUAUAAAGAUGAAAGCUUUACAAAGAAUCAACGUGGUAAAGCUGCUUAUGAUAAUAUGGUGGUCAUGGUGUGUGAUUCUAGGGUUUGUUUAGUGAGGGUCGAUCUCGAGGGAGUCCAUAACAACAAAGAUGGCUUAGUUGAGAUAUCUACAAAGCUAAUGGGUCAACACACUACAAGAAAACAUUAAUUUAGAGACUGCAUUUGCAACUGUGCUCUGUAGUUGCAAAGAUGUGUGACUAAUUUCUAAUGAAUUUGCAACCAUUAAGUGACUACGGUUUAUGAAUAGUAAUUUAGUUGCAAUUUUGUGACCAAUACUUGUGGUGGUAAUUUCGUUGCUUAUUUAUGACCUAUUUGCAACUCAGUUGCAACUAAAUGGUGUAAUUGCAAAAUAGUGUCAAAAAAAACAACGUAUUUAGGACCAAAGUAUACAGUUACAAAUACGUAGUUACAAAUUAGUUGCUAAUAUAAAUUAAAUUGCGUAGUUGCAAAUAAGUAACUAUAUUUUGGGACACUUGUGUGACUUUAAUCAAAAGAGUAGUAUUUUAGUGGCUAAUAUGGUUUUGAAAACACAGGCCGCCACAGUUAUAUAGAGAUUAUAACUAUUUCACGACUAUGAACAGACAUUUAUAACAAAGUAAAGCAACUUUUCAGUUUUCUGCUAUAGAAACUUAUUUGCUAAAAAUAGUUUAGCUGAUAUUAAUAAUUUGUUUUUUCAAUAGAAAAGCAUCAGUUAUCAUGUCCGAGUGUAGUAGAAGAGUAGUUGUACUAUUUGCUACAUAUUUUGCAGUAUAGUUAGGUUUAGUGUUUAGGGUGUUUUCACUCAAAAUUGUAAAUUUAAUAUUUUCUUGUAGAUUUCUAUAAUUUUAAUACGAACUCAACAUCACAAACAUAUAUAUAUAUAUAUAUAUAUAUAUAUAUAGUAACAUUUAUGAUUUUGCCCUUAUUAUGUGAUUUUUAAAAAAAUUAAAAGAGUAAUCUUAUUUUGUGACUAAUUUACUACUAUAAGCAUUUGUAACUAACUUGUGACCAACAAUAUUUGUAUUCAGCCACUCAACACACUAUAAGCAUCUGUAACUAACUUGUGACUUCAAAUAUAAAAGGAGUUACAAUGAAGUAUCAAGUAUACAGUCCCAAAAAAAUUCAAGUUUAUAUAGUCAUUUAGAUUAAAAGCUCAAUUAAAUUAUUUUACAUUAAUGAUUUUCUAAGUAAUACUUAUUUAAUAUACAAUCAUAUAUUUUAACAUACAAUUCUUGAAAAUAAAAAUCAUAUUUGGAGCUUAGGGUAUCAUUAGCUACUAAUUUGGGACUGUAAAACAUAAUCAAGUUGCAAAUUAGUCACAAGUAAUAGCGAAGUUGUUACUGUUUUGCCACUGUAAUCAUAUUUAUUGGAAUAAUUAUCCAAAAUAUAUUAUUUUUCUUAAAUUAUUUUAUUAUAUUACAAGCAAAUACCAGUACACCCAAAAUUAAUCAUAUCUUGCACAAUUUGGAUAUAUGCACAUCUUCACAAAAUUUAUGUUAUCCAAUAUAAUACAUUCUUGUGUCAUGAUUUGGAUUUGAAUAGAGAUUUUUUCAAAUAGAUUGAUCUACAUUAAUGAUUUGGUAAACUAUACUUACUUAAUAUAUAAUCAUUUGUAUUUUUCAGAUAUAGUAGUUUUUAAAAGCAGGGAAUAAUAUUCAAGGUUUAGGGUAUUGUUAGUCACUAUUUUGCAACUAUAUGUCCUAAGGUAGUUGCACUUUAGUAGCAUAAUUUGACUGAUAAAAAAUUAAUAAUAAUUUAAGAGGUUGUUUCUGAUUGGUUAAUUCACAAAGGGAAGGAUUGACCUUUGUUAGUUAUCCACCGUUGAUAUCAGUAAAACUAAUGGUCACGAUUUAAUCAAGUUUUAAAAUUUUCUACUUCUUCUUUUCUUUCUCUUCUCUGCUUUGUGCUUUCUCAUCGUUAGUUUCAAAGAUUGAAUUUUCUCAGGCUUUCUCUUCGUCUUCCUUUUAUCUGCUCUCCCAUCAUCGCUACUUUUUUUCUUUUUCUUCUUUCAUUUCUCUUGGUAUUCUUUUUUUCUCUUCAUCUUAUUAUACAAUUUCUAACUGGUUUUUUUGUUUUGUUUACAGAUCUGAGAAGAAGUAGCAGUGAUGAAACGGGGAGGAGAAAUUGUGGCGUGACGCAGAAGACGUGCCGGUGGUGGUUGUGACGUAACAGAUCGGAUCGGAACGGCCGAGUCCGUGUGUACCAGACCAACACUGGUCGCUCCACAACCAGAUUCUGUCGUCGCUUCAGAUGGAAUCACUCCGAGUCUACGUGGUGCCUCGUCGUUGUGCCGAAGCCGGUGGAGAAUGCGGUGGCGGAACCCGUGCAGUGGAUGAACUCAUAGAGAUGAUGAUGGUGUAUUUUUGUAUAUAUAUAUAUAUAUAUAUGUAUUUAUCUCUGUAAUUUAACUUUUAAAUUAAUAUGAAAUUAAUAUUUAAAUUUGAA